GUUUCCGUAGCGUAGCGGUUAUCACGUUCGCCUCACACGCGAAAGGUCCCCGCUUCGAUCCCGGGCGGAAACA